CCUACGGGAGGCUGCAGUGGGGAAUAUUGCACAAUGGGCGCAAGCCUGAUGCAGCCAUGCCGCGUGUGUGAAGAAGGCCUUCGGGUUGUAAAGCACUCUCAGCGGGGAGGAAGGCGGUGAGGUUAAUAACCUCAUCGAUUGACGUUACCCGCAGAAGAAGCACCGGCUAACUCCGUGCCAGCAGCCGCGGUAAUACGGAGGGUGCAAGCGUUAAUCGGAAUUACUGGGCGUAAAGCGCACGCAGGCGGUCUGUCAAGUCGGAUGUGAAAUCCCCGGGCUCAACCUGGGAACUGCAUUCGAAACUGGCAGGCUAGAGUCUUGUAGAGGGGGGUAGAAUUCCAGGUGUAGCGGUGAAAUGCGUAGAGAUCUGGAGGAAUACCGGUGGCGAAGGCGGCCCCCUGGACAAAGACUGACGCUCAGGUGCGAAAGCGUGGGGAGCAAACAGGAUUAGAUACCCGGGUAGUC
rnacentral:rRNA from 1 species